rnacentral:lncRNA from 1 species
CAUUCUCCUCCACCACCAUCGCCGACAUACGUAUACAAGUCACCACCUCCUCCAUCACCCAAAUACGUGUACAAAUCACCACCUCCUCCAUCACCUAAAUACGUGUACAAGUCGCCACCCCCUCCAUCACCUGAAUAUGUGUACAAGUCCCCACCCCCUCCAACCCCAACUUACGUGUACAAGUCACCACCACCUCCAUCACCUGAAUACGUAUACAAGUCCCCACCACCUCCAUCACCGAAGUACGUGUAUAAAUCCCCCCCACCGCCACCAUACUACUACAAGUCCCCCCCACCUCCAUCACCUGAGUACGUAUACAAGUCUCCCCCACCUCCAUCCCCAAAGUACGUGUACAAGUCCCCGCCCCCUCCAUCACCUGAAUACGGGGACAAGUCCCCACCACCUCCCUCACCCGAAUACGUGUACAAGCCCCCACCCCCUCCAUCACCUGAAUACGGGGACAAGUCCCCACCACCUCCCUCACCCGAAUACGUGUACAAGCCCCCACCCCCUCCAUCACCUGAAUACGGGGACAAGUCCCCACCACCUCCCUCACCCGAAUACGUGUACAAGCCCCCACCCCCUCCAUCACCUGAAUACGGGGACAAGUCCCCACCACCUCCCUCACCCGAAUACGUGUACAAGCCCCCACCCCCUCCAUCACCUGAAUACGGGGACAAGUCCCCACCACCUCCCUCACCCGAAUACGUGUACAAGCCCCCACCCCCUCCAUCACCUGAAUACGGGGACAAGUCCCCACCACCUCCCUCACCCGAAUACGUGUACAAGCCCCCACCCCCUCCAUCACCUGAAUACGGGGACAAGUCCCCACCACCUCCCUCACCCGAAUACGUGUACAAGCCCCCACCCCCUCCAUCACCUGAAUACGGGGACAAGUCCCCACCACCUCCCUCACCCGAAUACGUGUACAAGCCCCCACCCCCUCCAUCACCUGAAUACGGGGACAAGUCCCCACCACCUCCCUCACCCGAAUACGUGUACAAGCCCCCACCCCCUCCAUCACCUGAAUACGGGGACAAGUCCCCACCACCUCCCUCACCCGAAUACGUGUACAAGCCCCCACCCCCUCCAUCACCUGAAUACGGGGACAAGUCCCCACCACCUCCCUCACCCGAAUACGUGUACAAGCCCCCACCCCCUCCAUCACCUGAAUACGGGGACAAGUCCCCACCACCUCCCUCACCCGAAUACGUGUACAAGCCCCCACCCCCUCCAUCACCUGAAUACGGGGACAAGUCCCCACCACCUCCCUCACCCGAAUACGUGUACAAGCCCCCACCCCCUCCAUCACCUGAAUACGUAUACAAGUCUCCACCACCUCCAUCACCGAAGUACGUGUAUAAAUCCCCACCACCGCCACCAUACUACUACAAUUCUC